AUUGAACGCUGGCGGCAUGCCUUACACAUGCAAGUCGAACGGCAGCAUGAUCUAGCUUGCUAGAUUGAUGGCGAGUGGCGCACGGGUGAGUAAUACAUCGGAACGUGCCCUGUAGUGGGGGAUAACUAGUCGAAAGAUUAGCUAAUACCGCAUACGACCUGAGGGUGAAAGUGGGGGACCGCAAGGCCUCAUGCUAUAGGAGCGGCCGAUGUCUGAUUAGCUAGUUGGUGAGGUAAAGGCUCACCAAGGCGACGAUCAGUAGCUGGUCUGAGAGGACGAUCAGCCACACUGGGACUGAGACACGGCCCAGACUCCUACGGGAGGCAGCAGUGGGGAAUUUUGGACAAUGGGCGAAAGCCUGAUUCAGCAAUGCCGCGUGUGUGAAGAAGGCCUUCGGGUUGUAAAGCACUUUUGUCCGGAAAGAAAUGGCUCUGGUUAAUACCUGGGGUCGAUGACGGUACCGGAAGAAUAAGGACCGGCUAACUACGUG
rnacentral:rRNA from 1 species